AAACAGGUGCUAAUACCGUAUAACAAUCGAAACCGCAUGGUUUUGAUUUGAAAGGCGCUUUCGGGUGUCGCUGAUGGAUGGACCCGCGGUGCAUUAGCUAGUUGGUGAGGUAACGGCUCACCAAGGCGACGAUGCAUAGCCGACCUGAGAGGGUGAUCGGCCACAUUGGGACUGAGACACGGCCCAAACUCCUACGGGAGGCAGCAGUAGGGAAUCUUCGGCAAUGGACGAAAGUCUGACCGAGCAACGCCGCGUGAGUGAAGAAGGUUUUCGGAUCGUAAAACUCUGUUGUUAGAGAAGAACAAGGAUGAGAGUAACUGUUCAUCCCUUGACGGUAUCUAACCAGAAAGCCACGGCUAACUACGUGCCAGCAGCCGCGGUAAUACGUAGGUGGCAAGCGUUGUCCGGAUUUAUUGGGCGUAAAGCGAGCGCAGGCGGUUUCUUAAGUCUGAUGUGAAAGCCCCCGGCUCAACCGGGGAGGGUCAUUGGAAACUGGGAGACUUGAGUGCAGAAGAGGAGAGUGGAAUUCCAUGUGUAGCGGUGAAAUGCGUAGAUAUAUGGAGGAACACCAGUGGCGAAGGCGGCUCUCUGGUCUGUAACUGACGCUGAGGCUCGAAAGCGUGGGGAGCAAACAGGAUUAGAUACCCUGGUAGUCCACGCCGUAAACGAUGAGUGCUAAGUGUUGGAGGGUUUCCGCCCUUCAGUGCUGCAGCUAACGCAUUAAGCACUCCGCCUGGGGAGUACGACCGCAAGGUUGAAACUCAAAGGAAUUGACGGGGGCCCGCACAAGCGGUGGAGCAUGUGGUUUAAUUCGAAGCAACGCGAAGAACCUUACCAGGUCUUGACAUCCUUUGACCACUCUAGAGAUAGAGCUUCCCCUUCGGGGGCAAAGUGACAGGUGGUGCAUGGUUGUCGUCAGCUCGUGUCGUGAGAUGUUGGGUUAAGUCCCGCAACGAGCGCAACCCUUAUUGUUAGUUGCCAUCAUUUAGUUGGGCACUCUAGCAAGACUGCCGGUGACAAACCGGAGGAAGGUGGGGAUGACGUCAAAUCAUCAUGCCCCUUAUGACCUGGGCUACACACGUGCUACAAUGGGAAGUACAACGAGUCGCAAAGUCGCGAGGCUAAGCUAAUCUCUUAAAGCUUCUCUCAGUUCGGAUUGUAGGC
rnacentral:rRNA from 1 species